rnacentral:sRNA from 1 species
UUUAAACUAUUCAAUAAAUAUGGUCGUAUUUUCAUUCCAAAAUGAAAGAUACAUUUUAAUAAAAUUGAAGUUAAAGAAGAAAGAAAUGAAAAAGAAAGAAGUUCGAAGGGAUGAGAAGAAAAGACAGAUGGUAAUAUGACUGUCCUCUAAAGGAAAUGGUUUCUGUUGCUAGGUUUUCCACUUAGCUAAAGUCAUCAGCUGUUUGAUGAAUAGACAAUAGUUUGGAUUAAAAAAUAUUUAAAAUCCUUUUUUGGUUCCAAUUCAAGAUUUAAACAUGAAUGCCAUUAGAAAUGAAUAGGGGCAAAUCAAGAGUUCUAGGGCACUGGAAGCAUGUCAGGAGAAAAGACCUCUGUUUCCUCCUUAUUACAAGAUGCUCUCUGAACAGGCCGUCCUCAUUCUAAAGAUCUGUGAGUCUGAUUUUAUUAAUAUCAUUGAAGUAACUUUCCCUUUCAUUUCUCCUAAACUAUCCCUCGAGCAAAUGAAAAAGCAAAUGAAUUGCAAGGUUAUUUUUCUUAAAAUAGGACCAUCGUCUUUUGAAAUACACAGGAUUUUAAUUUUAAAAUACUUUGUGCAUUAUAUUUUCCCCAUGAUUGCCUUCAAAUAGUGGGUACUUUUUCUCAUAAGCAUUAUUGGGAACCGUGUGGCUACGAGAUCAAAGAAAUAAUAUCCUAGAAAUAAUAUGGUCACAUUUACAUAGAAAUAAUAAUGCUGGAGUUGUUUUCUUUUCUUUUCUUUUCUUUUUUUUUUUUUUGAGACAAAAUCUAACUCUGUCAUCACCUAGGCUGGAGUGCAAUGAUGCUACCCCAGCUCACUGCAACCUCCACCUCCUGGAUUUAAGUGAUUUUUUCUGCCUCAGCCUCCUGAGUAGCUGGGAUUACAGGUGCCUGCCACCACACCCAGCUAAUUUUUGUAUUUUUAGUAGAGAGGGGUUUCACCACGUUGGCCAGGCUGGUCUCGAACUCCUGCCCUCAAGUGAUCCGCCCGCCACAGCCUCCCAAAGUGCUAGGAUUAUAGGCAUGAGCCACCGCGCCAGACCCCAAAUUUUAUUUUUUAUUCAUAUAUUCUCCACUGUCUCAGCUGGCAUUAAUGAAUCUUAAGUUUGCUUUUAUUGUAUCAUAAUUUUGAAAGUGCCUAGUAAGGAGGGGUUAUUAGUGUCCAGAUGUAUUUCAGAAGCAGCAAACUAAUCAUCUUUGAAUAGUGAUAGAUAUUUUUUCAGGUAGAAAAAUUUUAUAGGUAAUGCCAAUAGGUACAAAUAUAGGCGCUAAUGAUUUCUUUUAAUAUUUCUGGAAAGGAAUUAGAUUAUAUAUCUGUGAUAGAAUAUAAUACUAAGUAUUAGAUUGUAGAAGGCUUUGUUUCAAGGUGGUUAUUCAUUCAUGUUACUACCUUCUUCAAUCAUAACUCAGUAAGACCUCAAAGAUCUAAAUCUUUGGGCUUUGUAAAUCCUGAAUUACUUAGGUCUCUGCUACUGAAAAGUGAACAUCAAAAGUUGUCUAUUUAAGAAAAAAAGUAGUUUUUAUAAUCUGAGUUGUAUACUGGACCCAUAGAGAUCAUUUUAAAUGUAGCAAUGAAUAGAGAUUGGAUAAAAACAGUGUUAAAAAUUCUUUUCUAAUUCAAGUUCAAAUUUUAAAAAUUUUAAAGGCACGUUUUAGUGUAUAAAUAAUUGAAAAGUUGUUGACAGUUGUUUGUUUUGCAGUCAGCAAGUGGCAAGGAUCUUUGCAGAGACAACAGGAAAAUAAAGGCCGUAACAUGCGUAUAUACACAAUGAAAUAUGGAUGUGAGCUUAGAGGCUACACACGGUCUCUGGGAUACUCGAACUAUCUUUCUUGCCGUGGACCAGCUAACAUGCCUUGGUUGCGCCAGUGUACUGACCCCUGUGGACAUUACCUCAUUAAAUAUUCAAUAAAUGUUAUUUUUUUCCUACUGCCUUUCUGUCUUCUAUAUGAGAAUAUGUAAGUAUUCGCUGAAGGCUUUUCUUUUGCUUUUGUGAAUACCUUCACACCAUGUUGUAUUCUGUCUUGGUUAGUUAAAAAAAAAAAAAAAGUUGGCCAGGUGCAGUGGCUCACAGCUGUAAUCCCAGAACUUUGGGAGGCCAAGGCAGGGAGAUCACCUGAGGUUGCGAGAUCAAGAGCAACCUGACCAACAUGGAGAAAGCCAUCUCUACUAAAAAUACAAAAUUAGCCAGUCAUGGUGGCACGCACCUAUGAUCCCACCUACUCGGGAGGCUAAGGCAAGAGAAUUGCUUGAACCCAUGAGGCGGAGGUUGCAGUGAGCCGAGAUUGCGCCACUGUACUCCAGCCUGGGUGACUGAGCGAGACUCUGUCUCAAAAAAAAAAAAUAAAUAAAUAAAAGGUUAAUUAUAUUUCUUGUUAUGAGACAAAUGAACUAUUUCACACUUUCCAUUGAGGAUAGCAUGUAACGCAGGUUUUUCUCUUACAGGUUGUGGGACUGGAAAGUAUCUUAAAGUGAACAGCCAGGUACAUACCGUGGGCUGUGACUACUGUGGGCCACUGGUAGAGAUUGCCCGGAAUAGAGGAUGUGAAGCCUUGUCAUACAUCAUUUUUCUACAAAACAAAGAAGAAUCAGAGCAAUAAAAGAAAUGGCCAGGGUCUUAGUUCCUGGAGGCCAGCUGAUGAUAUAUGUUUGGGCAAUGGAACAAAAGAACCGUCGCUUUGAGAAGCAAGACGUGCUUGUUCCAUGGAACAGGGCCCUGUGUUCCCAGCUCUUCUCAGAGUCCAGCCAGUCUGGGAGGAAGAGGCAGUGUGGACACCCAGA